CGUAGGUCCCGAGCGUUGUCCGGAUUUAUUGGGCGUAAAGCGAGCGCAGGCGGUUCUUUAAGUCUGAAGUUAAAGGCAGUGGCUUAACCAUUGUACGCUUUGGAAACUGGAGGACUUGAGUGCAGAAGGGGAGAGUGGAAUUCCAUGUGUAGCGGUGAAAUGCGUAGAUAUAUGGAGGAACACCGGUGGCGAAAGCGGCUCUCUGGUCUGUAACUGACGCUGAGGCUCGAAAGCGUGGGGGAGCAAACAGGAUU
rnacentral:rRNA from 1 species